AGUGAACGCUGGCGGCGUGCCUAAUACAUGCAAGUCGAACGGAGUGGCGCACGGGUGAGUAAUAUAUAGCUAAUCUGCCCCUUGCUGGAGGACAACAGUUAGAAAUGACUGCUAAUACUCCAUAGCAAGGGAUGAGACUAUAACGGAUCAGCUAGUUGGUGGGGUGACGGCCUACCGAGGCUAUGACGCGUAACUGGUCUGAGAGGAUGAUCAGUCACAUUGGAACUUAGACACGAGCCAAACUCCUACGGGAUGGAGCGGUAGGGAAUAUUGCGCAAUGGGGGAAACCCUGACGCAGCAUCGCCGCGUGGAGGAUGACACUUUUCGGAGCAUAGACUCCUUUUGGUAGUGAAGCGUUACCUAACGAAUAAGCACCGGCUAACUCCGUGCCAGCAGCCGCGGUAAUAC
rnacentral:rRNA from 1 species